AGAAUCAACGCUGGCGGCGUGCCUAACACAUGCAAGUCGCACGAGAAAGUAGACUUCGGUCUGCGAGUAAAGUGGCGCACGGGUGAGUAACACGUGAAUAAUCUACCUCCGAGUGGGGAAUAACUUAGGGAAACCUGAGCUAAUACCGCAUAACACUUACGAGUCAAAGCAGCAAUGCGCUUGGAGAGGAGUUCGCGGCAGAUUAGUUAGUUGGCGGGGUAAUGGCCCACCAAGACGAUGAUCUGUA
rnacentral:rRNA from 1 species